CAAUAGCGUAUAUUAAAGUUGUUGCGGUUAAAAAGCUCGUAGUUGGAGUUCUGCCAGGUGACACUCGUCCGCCCAAGUGGUGUGUACAGGGUGUGCAUCUGGCCCUUUCAAGGGGAACGUGUCUGCACUUCAUUGUGUGGUGCGAGAUCCUUGACUUUUACUUUGAGGAAAUAAGAGUGUUCCAAGCAGGCUCUCGUCGUGCAUAGCUCAGCAUGGAAUAAUAGCAUUGGACUUCGUUUCUACGCUGUUGGUUGCAAGAAGCGAGGUAAUGAUGAAGAGGGAUAGUUGGGGGCAUUCGUAUUUAACUGUCAGAGGUGAAAUUCUUGGAUUUGUUAAGGACGGACUACUGCGAAAGCAUCUGCCAUGGAUGUUUUCAUUGA
rnacentral:rRNA from 1 species